AUGAAAGUCUGUCACAUUUUGAUCUGCUUCUUCUUCCUCUCACUGCAGGAUGGAAACAUUCGUCUAAUCAAUGCAGAAAUCCUGGUCCAUACAGGAAGUGAAGGAGGAAACAUCACAGUUGGAUGCUCCUUCUCUUUCUCUGGAAGCAGGAAGAUCUUCUGUAAGAGAGAAUGUGAAGGAAAAGACAUUCUCAUUGAAACAGAUGAGAACAGAGCUCAGAAUGGCAGAUACAGCAUUGAAUAUAAAGAAGGAACUUUUCCAGCAUCGAAAACACUUCUGUAUGUGAGCAUCACAAAGCUGACUAAGUCUGACUCGGGGCGGUACAGAUGUUGGUUGGGCAGAGCUGUGUUAAAAGAUGCAACCUAUGACUUUGAGCUCAGAGUUGAAGAUGCUCCAACCACUUCAAAACCAAAGAGGAAAACCACCACCAAAGCACCUUUUACACCAUCAGUCCCAUCAGCCUCCACACCGACAACAACACAGAGUUUAAGCUCCAGUUCAGGAAGCUCCACACCUUCAUCAUCCUCCCCUGAAACCACCAACCAGCCUGAACAGCAACAGAGAGCUGCAGGUCCAGGUUUACUGCUGUAUGUGAGUCUGACUCUGGUCGUCAUGAUCGUCGUAUUAUCAGCGGCUGUGCUGAUAUUCUGCAGGAAGAGGGCCAGUAAACCCAAAGGUGAGACUGCAGGAAACACACAAACUCAAAAAAGGCAACUGACCACCUAA
rnacentral:lncRNA from 1 species